ensembl:lncRNA
GGAAGUCUCUGUUGUUGAAGAUAUUUCUGCUACACUAGUGGUGGAUGUUUCAGCAGGAGUCGUUAUUGUGGAAGUCUCUGUGGUUGCAGAUGUUUCUGCUGUACUAGUUCUGGAUGUUUCAGCAGGAGUCUUUAUUGUGGAAUUCCCUGUUGUAGAAGAUGUUUCUGCUACACUAACGGAGGAUGUUUCAGCAGGAGUCAUGAUUGUGGAUGUCUCUUUUGUAGUAGAUAUUUCUGCUUCACUAGGGGUGGAUAUUUCAGGUGUAGUUGAUUUGAUAGUUGAAGUCUCUGUUGUUGUAGAUGUUUCUGCUACACGGAUAGUGGAUGUUUCAGAAGGAAUUGUUGUGAUUGUGGAAGUCUCUGUUGUUGUAAAUGUUUCUGCAGCACUAGUAGUAGAUAUUUCAGCAGGAGUAGUGAUUAUGGAAGUCUCUGUUGUUGUAGAUGUUUCUGCUGCACUAGUGGUGGAUGUUUCAGCAGGAAUUGUUGUGAUGGUGGAUAUCUGUGUAGUAGAUGUUUCUUUUGCAAUGGUGGUGGGUGUUUCAGCAGGUAUUGUUGGGAUUGUGGAAGUCUCUGUUGUUAAAGAUGUUUCUGCUGCAUUAGAGGUGGAUGUUUCAGCAGGAAUAGUGAUUGUGAAACUCUCUGUUGUUGUAGAUGUUUCUGCAACACUAAAAGUGGAUAUUUCAGCUGCAGUUGUUGUGAGUGUUGAAGUCUCUGUUGUUGAAGAUAUUUCUACUACACUAAUAGUGGAUGUUUCAGCAGGAGUCGUGAUUGUGGAAGUCUCCAUUGUUGUAGAUGUUUCUGCUACACUGAUAGUAGAGGUUUCAGCAGGAAUUGUUGUGAUUGUGGAAGUCUCUGUUGUUGAAAAUAUUUCUGCUACACUAGUGGUGGGUGUUUCAGCAGGAGAAGAUGUGAAUGUAGCAGUCUCUGUUGUUAUAGAUGUUUCUGCUACACUAGGGGUGGGUUUUUCAGCAGGAAUCGUUAUUGUUGAAGACUCUUUUGUUGUAGAUAUUUCUGUUUCACUGAUAGUAGAUAUUUCAGCAGAAGUAGUGAUUGUGGAAGUCUUUGUUAUUGAUGAUGUUUCUGUUGCACUAGCGGGGGAUGUUUUAGCAGGAGUUGCUGUGAUUGUGGAUGUGUCUGUUGUUGUAGAUGUUUCUGCUGCACUAAUAGUGGAUGUUUCAGCAGGAAUUGUUGUGAUUGUGGAAGUCUCUGAUGUUGAAGAUGUUUCUGUUGCCCUAGUGAUGGAUGUUUCAGUGGGAAUUGUUGUGAUUGUGGAAGCCUCUGUUGUCGAAGAUUUUUCUGCUACACUUAUAGUCGAUGUUUCAGCCACCGUUGUUGUGAUUGUGGAAGUCUCUGUUGAUGUAGAUGUUUCUGCUUUACUAGUGGUGGAUGUUUCAGUGGGAGUCGUUAUUGUGGAAGUCUCUGUGGUUGCAGAUGUUUCUGCUGUACUAGUUCUGGAUGUUUCAGCAGGAGUCUUUAUUGUGGAAUUCCCUGUUGUAGAAGAUGUUUCUGCUACACUAACGGAGGAUGUUUCAGCAGGAGUCAUGAUUGUGGAUGUCUCUUUUGUAGUAGAUAUUUCUGCUUCACUAGGGGUGGAUAUUUCAGGUGUAGUUGAUUUGAUAGUUGAAGUCUCUGUUGUUGUAGAUGUUUCUGCUACACGGAUAGUGGAUAUUACAGCUGGAGUUGUUGUGCUUGUGGAAGUCUCUGUGGUUAAAGAUGUUUCUGCUGCACUAGUGGUGGAUGUUUCAGAAGGAAUUGUCGUGAUUGUGGAAGUCUCUUUUGUUGUAGAUAUUUCUGCUUCACUGAUAGUAGAUAUUUCAGCAGGAGUAGUGAUUAUGGAAGUCUCUGUUGUAGUAGAUUUUUCUGCUGCACUAGUAGUGGAUGUUUCAGCAGGAGUCGUUGUUGUGGAAGUCUCUGUUGUAGUAGAUGUUUCUGCUGCACUACUGGUGGAUGUUUCAGCAGGAGUAGUUAUUGUAGAAGUCUCUGUUGUUGUAAAUGUUUCUGCUGCAUUAGAGGUGGAUUUUUCAGCAGGAAUAGUGAUUGUGGAAGUCUCUGUUGUUGAAGAUAUUUCUGCUACACUAGUGGUGGGUGUUUCAGCAGGAAUUGUUGGGAUUGUGUAAGUCUCUGUUGUUAAAGAUGUUUCUGCUGCACUACUGGUGGAUGUUUCAGCAGUUAUUGUUGGGAUUUUGGAAGUCUCUGUUGUUAAAUAUGUGUCUGUGGCACUAGUGGUGUAUGUUUCAACAGGAAUUGUUGGGAUUCUGGAAGUCCCAGUUGUUGUAUAAGUUUCUGCUGCAUUAGAGGUGGUUGUUUCAGCAGGUAUAGUGAUUGUGGAAGUCUCUGUUGUUGAAGAUGUUUCUGCAACACUGAUAGUAGAGGUUUCAGCAGGAAUUGUUGUGAUUGGGAAAGUCUCUGUUGUUGAAAAUAUUUCUGCUACACUAGUUGUGGAUGUUUCAGCAGGAGAAAAUGUGAUUGUAAUAGUCUCUGUUGUUAUAGACGUUUCUGCUACACUAAUAGUGGAUGUUUCAGCCGGAGGUGUUGUGAAUAUAGAAGUCUCUGUUGUUGAAAAUAUUUCUGCUACACUAGUGGUGGGUGUUUCAGCAGGAAUCGUUAUUGUUGAAGACUCUUUUGUUGUAGAUGUUUCUGUUUCACUGACAGUAGAUAUUUCAGCAGAAGUAGUGAUUGUGGAAGUCUCUGUUGUUGUAGAUGUUUCUGAUGCACUAGUGGUUAAUGUUUCAGCAAUUGUCAUCAUUGUGGAAGUCUCUGAUCUCGUAGAUGUUUCUGCUGCACUAGUAGAGGAUGUUUCAGCUGGAAUUGUUGUGAUUGUGGAACUCUCUGUUGUUGUAGAUGUUUCUGUUACACUGAUAGUAAAGGUUUCAGCAGGAAUUGUUGUGAUCGUGGAAGUCUCUGUUGAAGACGUUUCUGCAUCACUAGUGGUGGAUGUUUCAUCAGGAAUUGAUGUGAUGGUGGAUAUCUGUGUAGUAGAUUUUUCUGCUAUACUAGUAGUGGAUGUUUCAGCAGGAGUCGUUGUUGUUGAAGUCUCUGUUGUAGUAGAUGUUUCUUUUGCACUAGUGAUUGGUGUUUCAGCAGGAAUUGUUGGGAUUGUGGAAGUCUCUGUUGUUAAAGAUAUUUUUGCUGCACUAGUGGUGUAUGUUUCAACAGGAAUUGUUGGAAUUCUGGAAGUCCCUGUUGUUGUAGAAGUUUCUGCUUCACUACUGGUGGAUGUUUUAGCAGGAGUAGUGCUUGUGGAAGUCUCUGUUUUUGUAGAUGUUUCUGUUGCAUUAGUGGUGGAUGUUUCAGCAGGAGUUGUUGUAAUUGUGGAAGUCUCUGUUGUUGAAGAUAUUUCUGCUACACUAAUAGUGGAUGUUUCAGCAGGAGUCGUGAUUGUGAAAGUCUCCAUUGUUGUAGAUGUUUCUGCUACACUGAUGGUGGAUGUUUCAGCAGGAAUAGUUGUGAUUGUGGAAGUCUCUGUUGUUGUAGAUUUUUCUGCUGCACUAGUGGUGGAUGUUUCAUCCGGAGUCGUGGAUGUGGGAGUCUCCAUUGUUGUAGAUGUUUCUGCUACACUCAUAGUGGAUGUUUUAGCUGGAGUUGUUAUGAUUGUGGGAAUCUCUGUUGUUGAAAAUAUUUCUGCUACACUAGUGGUGGAUGCUUCAGGAGGAGACGAUGUGAUUGUAGUAGUCUCUGUUGUUAUAGAUGUUUCUGCUACACUAGUAGUGGAUGUUUCAGCCGCAGGUGUUAUGAAUGUUGAAGUCUCUGUUGUUAAAGAUAUUUCUGCUGCACUACUGGUGGAUGUUUCAGCAGGUAUUGCUGGGAUUGUGGAAGUCUCUGUUGUUAAAUAUGUGUCUGCUGCACUAGUGGUGUAUGUUUCAAAAGGAAUUGUUGGAAUUCUGGAAGUCCCUGUUGUUGUAGAAGUUUCUGCUUCACUAGUGGUGGAUGUUUUAGCAGGAGUAGUGGUUGUGGAAGUCUCUGUUUUUGUAGAUGUUUCUGCUACACUGAUAGUGGAUGUUUUAGCUGGAGUUGUUAUGAUUGUGGGAAUCUCUGUUGUUGAAAAUAUUUCUGCUACACUAGUGGUGGAUGUUUUAGGAGGAGACGAUGUGAUUGUAUUAGUCUCUGUUGUUGUAGAAGUUUCUGCUGCACUAGUAGCGGAUGUUUCAGCAGGAUUCGUGACUGUGGAAGUCUCUUUGGUAGUAGAUGUUUCUGCUUCACUAGUGGUGGAUGUUUCAGCAGGAGUAGUGAUUGUGAAAGUCUCUGUUGUUGUAUAUGUUUCUGCUACACUAAAAGUGGAUGUUUCCGCAGAAGUUGUUGUGAGUGUGGAAGUCUCUGUUGUUGAAGAUAUUUCAGCUACACUAAUAGUGGAUGUUUCAGCAGGAGUCGUGAUUGUGAAAGUCUCCAUUGUUGUAGAUGUUACUGCUACACUGAUGGUGGAUGUUUCAGCAGGAAUUUUUGUAAUUGUGGAAGUCUCUGUUGUUGAAGACGUUUCUGCAUCACUAGUGGUGGAUGUUUCAUCAGGAAAUGAUGUGAUGGUGGAUAUCUGUUUAGUAGAUUUUUCUGCUAUACUAGUAGUGGAUGUUUCAGGAGGAGUCGUUGUUGUGGAAGUCUCUGUUGUAGGAGAUGUUUCUGCUGCACUAGUGGUGGAUGUUUCAUCAGGAAUUGAUGUGAUGGUGGAUAUCUCUUUAGUAGAUUUUUCUGCUAUACUAGUAGUGGAUGUUUCAGCAGGAGUCGUUGUUCUGGAAGUCUCUGUUGUUGUAGAAGUUUCUGCUCCACUAGUGGUGGAUGUUUCAGCAGGAGUAGUGACUGUGAAAGUCUCUGUUGUUGUAGAUGUUUCUGAAACACUAAAAGUGGAUGUUUCAGCUGCAGUUGUUGUUAGUGUGGAAGUCUCUGUUGUUGAAGAUAUUUCUGCUACAAUAAUAGUGGAUGUUUCAGCAGGAGUCGUGAUUGUGGAAGUCAUUUUUGUAGAUGUUUCUGCUACACUGAUAGUAGAGGUUUCAGCAGGAAUUGUUGUGAUUGUGGAAUUCUCUGUUGUAGUAGAUAUUUCUGCUGCACUACUGGUGGAUGUUUCAGCAGGUAUUGUUGGGAUUGUGGAAGUCUUUGUUGUUAAAUAUGUUUCUGCUUCAAUAGUGGUGGAUGUUUCAGCAGGAGUAGUGAUUGUGGAAGUCUCUGUUGUUGUAGAUAUUUCUGCUGCUUUAGUGGUGGAUGUUUCAGCAGAAGUUGUUGUGAUUGUGGAAGUUUCUGUUGUUGUAGAUGUUUCUGCUGCACUAGUGGUGGAUGUUUCAGGAGGAGUCGUGGAUGUGAAAGUCUCCAUUGUUGUAGAUGUUUCUGCUACACUGAUAGUGGAUGUUUUAGCUGGAGUUGUUAUGAUUGUGGGAAUCUCUGUUGUUGAAAAUAUUUCUGUGACACUAGUGGUGGAUGUUUCAUCAGGAUUCGUGACUGUGGAAGUCUCUUUGGUAGUUGAUGUUUCUGCUUCACUAGUGUUGGAUGUUUCAGUAGGAGUAGUAAUUGUGAAAGUCUCUGUUGUUGUAUAUGUUUCUGCUACACUUAAAGUGGAUGUUUCAGCAGAAGUUGUUGUGAGUGUGGAAGUCUCUGUUGUUAAAUAUGUGUCUGUGGCACUAGUGGUGUAUGUUUCAACAGGAAUUGUUGGAAUUCUGGAAGUCCCUGUUGUUGUAGAAGUUUCUGCUUCACUAAUAGUGGAUUUUUCAGCAGUAGUCGUGAUUGUGAAAGUCUCCAUUGUUGUAGAUGUUUCUGCUACACUGAUGGUGGAUGUUUCAGCAGAAAUUAUUUUGAUUGUGGAAGUCUCUGUUGUUGUAGAUGUUUUUUCUGCACUAGUGGUGGAUGUUUCAGUAGGAGUCGUUAUAGUGGAAGUGUCUGUUGUUGUAGGUGUUUGUGUUGCACUAAUUGUGGGUGUUUCACUGAUAGUGGAUAUUUCAGCUGGAUUUGUUGUGAUUGUGGAAGUCUCUUUUGUAGUAGAUGUUUCUGGUGCACUAGUGGUGGAUGUUUCAGCAAUAGUCGUGAAUGUGGGAGUCUCCAUUGUUGAAGACGUUUCUACAUCACUAGUGGUGGAUGUUUCGGCAGGAAUUGUUGUGAUGGUGGAUAUCUGUGUAGUAGAUUUUUCUGCUGCACUAGUAGUGGAUGUUUCAGCAGGAGUCAUUGUUGUGGAAGUCUCCAUUGUUGUAGAUGUUUCUGCUACACUGAUUGUGGUUAUUUCAGCAGGAAUUGUUGUGAUUGUGGAAGUCUCUGUUGUUGAAGAUGUUGCUGUAGCACUAGUGCUGGAUGUUUCAGGUGGAGUUGUUAUGAUUGUCGAAGUCUCUGUUGUAGAUAUUUCUGCUGCACUAGUAGUGGAUGUUUCAGUUGUAGUUGUUAUGAUUGUGGACUGCUCUGUUUUUGUUGUAGAUGUU